GACGAACGCUGGCGGCGCGCCUAACACAUGCAAGUCGAACGAGCGAGAGAGAGCUUGCUUUCUUGAGCGAGUGGCGAACGGGUGAGUAACGCGUGAGGAACCUGCCUCAAAGAGGGGGACAACAGUUGGAAACGACUGCUAAUACCGCAUAAGCCCACGGUGCCGCAUGGCACAGAGGGAAAAGGAGCAAUCCGCUUUGAGAUGGCCUCGCGUCCGAUUAGCUAGUUGGUGAGGUAACGGCCCACCAAGGCGACGAUCGGUAGCCGGACUGAGAGGUUGAACGGCCACAUUGGGACUGAGACACGGCCCAGACUUCUACGGGAGGCAGCAGUGGGGAAUAUUGCACAAUGGGGGAAACCCUGAUGCAGCGACGCCGCGUGGAGGAAGAAGGUCUUCGGAUUGUAAACUCCUGUUGUUGGGGAAGAUAAUGACGGUACCCAACAAGGAAGUGACGGCUAACUACGUG
rnacentral:rRNA from 1 species